UGGGGAAUAUUGGACAAUGGGCGCACGNCUGAUCCAGCUAUACCGCGUGGGUGAAGAAGGCCUUCGGGUUGUAAAGCCCUUUUGUUGGGAAAGAAAUCCAGCCGGCUAAUACCUGGUUGGGAUGACGGUACCCAAAGAAUAAGCACCGGCUAACUUCGUGCCAGCAGCCGCGGUAAUACGAAGGGUGCAAGCGUUACUCGGAAUUACUGGGCGUAAAGCGCGCGUAGGUGGUCGUUUAAGUCCGUUGUGAAAGCCCUGGGCUCAACCUGGGAACUGCAGUGGAUACUGGGCGACUAGAGUGUGGUAGAGGGUAGCGGAAUUCCUGGUGUAGCAGUGAAAUGCGUAGAGAUCAGGAGGAACAUCCAUGGCGAAGGCAGCUACCUGGACCAACACUGACACUGAGGCACGAAAGCGUGGGGAGCAAACAGGAUUAGAUACCCUGGCAGUCCACGCCCUAAACGAUGCGAACUGGAUGUUGGGUGCAAUUUGGCACGCAGUAUCGAAGCUAACGCGUUAAGUUCGCCGCCUGGGGAGUACGGUCGCAAGACUG
rnacentral:rRNA from 1 species